AACGAACGCUGGCGGCAGGCCUAACACAUGCAAGUCGAGCGAGACCUUCGGGUCUAGCGGCGGACGGGUGAGUAACGCGUGGGAAUAUGCCUUUCGGUAUGGAAUAGUCCUGGGAAACUGGGGGUAAUACCAUAUACGCCCUAUUGGGGAAAGAUUUAUCGCCGAAAGAUUAGCCCGCGUUGGAUUAGGUAGUUGGUGGGGUAAUGGCCUACCAAGCCGACGAUCCAUAGCUGGUUUGAGAGGAUGAUCAGCCACACUGGGACUGAGACACGGCCCAGACUCCUACGGGAGGCAGCAGUGGGGAAUCUUAGACAAUGGGGGCAACCCUGAUUUAGCCAUGCCGCGUGAAUGAUGAAGGCC
rnacentral:rRNA from 1 species